rnacentral:rRNA from 1 species
CGAACGUGGGGAACCGUGCCCCACUAGUCUGGGAUACCACUUGGAAACAGGUGCUAAUACCGGAUAGAAAGCGGAUCGCAUGAUCAGCUUUUAAAAGGCGGCGUAAGCUGUCGCUAUGGGAUGGCCCCGCGGUGCAUUAGCUAGUUGGUAAGGUAAAGGCUUACCAAGGCGAUGAUGCAUAGCCGAGUUGAGAGACUGAUCGGCCACAUUGGGACUGAGACACGGCCCAAACUCCUACGGGAGGCAGCAGCG